CUUGCUCUGUAAGAACCUGUGAGAUCACUGUAGCCAUCGCAGCUGUUUAAACACAGGCGCACACAACAAGCAGAUCUCAUUGCCUUUGGGGGAUGUGGCUAUGCCCCCGGAAGUGAAUCUGGAGGCCCUUCACCC
ensembl:snoRNA